UUAUAUUGUUUAUCUUGUUAUUGUAUUUGUGGUGUAUCGUUCAUGUACUUUAUUUUGUCGCAGCGUGAAAGAGGAAUUAGUUGGUUUGGAGAAGCCUUUUAUGGAUUCCUGAGUUUUUUGUUCCUGGUGUUUUUCUCUCUAUGUUAAUGUGCUGCUGUGGAGUUCUAGUAAAGAGAGACUUAAGCAAAUAUGAAGCCUCCUGUCAAUAAAAUUAAGAUUAUCGUUACACUAAAGCUAGUAUAAUCUACAAUUUAAGACAAGAAGAUGCAUGGGAGGUUUGAAGGUGAGGCAUAUGAAAC